UACGCAGGAAUCUACCUAGCAGUAAGGAAUAACUCUCGGAAACGGGUGCUAAUGCCAUAUAUUACCGAUUUAUCGGGAAAGAUUUAUCGCUGUUAGAUGAGCCUGUAUCAGAUUAGUUUGUUGGUGGGGUAAUGGCCUACCAAGGCGAUGAUCUGUAGCUGGUCUGAGAGGAUGAUCAGCCACACUGGGACUGAGACACGGCCCAGACUCCUACGGGAGGCAGCAGUGGGGAAUAUUGGACAAUGGGCGAAAGCCUGAUCCAGCAAUACCAUGUGAAUGAUGAAGGCCUUAGGGUUGUAA
rnacentral:rRNA from 1 species